UUCUUCGGGGCGGGGUGUGAUUCCCCACCGGCGGUAUAGUCCGCGACCUGCCAUAGUUUUUUAUGACAGCUGAUCUGGUGUAAUUCCAGAACCGACAGUAUAGUCUGGAUGAGAGAAGGA
rnacentral:ncRNA from 1 species